rnacentral:rRNA from 1 species
CAGCAGCCGCGGUAAUACGUAGGUGGCAAGCGUUGUCCGGAAUUAUUGGGCGUAAAGCGCGCGCAGGCGGAUAGGUCAGUCUGUCUUAAAAGUUCGGGGCUUAACCCCGUGAUGGGAUGGAAACUGCCAAUCUAGAGUAUCGGAGAGGAAAGUGGAAUUCCUAGUGUAGCGGUGAAAUGCGUAGAUAUUAGGAAGAACACCAGUGGCGAAGGCGACUUUCUGGACGAAAACUGACGCUGAGGCGCGAAAGCCAGGGGGGCGAACGGGAUUAGAUACCCGAGUAGUCCCUGUCUCUUAUACA